rnacentral:rRNA from 1 species
GAUGAACGCUGGCGGCGUGCCUAAUACAUGCAAGUCGAGCGAACAGACGAGGAGCUUGCUCCUCUGACGUUAGCGGCGGACGGGUGAGUAACACGUGGAUAACCUACCUAUAAGACUGGGAUAACUUCGGGAAACCGGAGCUAAUACCGGAUAAUAUCUUGAACCGCAUGGUUCAAUAGUGAAAGACGGUUUUGCUGUCACUUAUAGAUGGAUCCGCGCCGCAUUAGCUAGUUGGUAAGGUAACGGCUUACCAAGGCAACGAUGCGUAGCCGACCUGAGAGGGUGAUCGGCCACACUGGAACUGAGACACGGUCCAGACUACUACGGGAGGCAGCAGUAGGGAAUCUUACGCAAUGGGCGAAAGCCUGACGGAGCAACGCCGAGUGAGUGAUGAAGGUCUUCGGAUCGGAAAACUCUGUUAUUAGGGAAGAACAAAUGUGUAAGUAACUAUGCACGUCUUGACGGUACCUAAUCAGAAAGCAACGGCUAACUACGUG